CUAAAAUUAUUGACAAGUUUAGUCCAUUUUUCAAUACGACGUUCACCUUUAGUUAUUUCGUGACUCUUCAACCGGUGACUAAUAAUUUGGUGAUCAGUGUAAUUACGGGAAAACAUUGUGCGUUUCCGAGUUGAAACAGUGUUUUAAUGUCUCCUAGUGGGAUAACUAUUGUUUUGUUAUUUAAAAAAUAUGCAGUGAAUGGUGGUUUGAUAAAUCUAUCGUGCAUCGGUGGUUUAUAAAACGUGCUACUGCGUGUGUUAGUGGAUUUACGUACUUUUAUAGUGAUUCAUUCGAUAACACUAUUUUCGGUACAUUGGAAUAACUCUUAAUGUUUGCAGGGUGCAGGAUCUGAUCAAUGAAAAUGGACUAGAGAAAAGGAAGGAACUUUCGAAAGCAUGAUCGAAAGCGUCUUGAAUUUCCAAGACAACCCACCAGGCAGCUCCAGCAUUCUUGUUUAAAUCGCUCAGUGGGGUACAUGCAGCUUUUAUGAAAAGGAUACCAGUCGCCAUGAGAAUGGUAAGUUUUCUUCAGAAUUCUCCUUCAAUUUAUGCAGCGACAAAAUAUUUAAUCGAUGUGUAGGAUUGAUAUUGAGUGACAAUAAUUAGGGAAUUUAUCCGAGGAAAGCGAAUCCCAAAUCUGAAUAUCUGGUGAUUUAACUCGAGAAAAUCCUCCCAACUCCUUAAAAAGCAACUUUACAACAUUUAACCACAUUUACAAUCGUCGAAUUUCUGCUUAUCAGUUAUUGACACGU